AGAUACGUAUAUGAAUAAUCAUUUGUUGAAAUUGGCUGAAAAUAUCCCUGGAGACUGGAAAAAACUGGCAAUAUUUCUUGGUAUUAGCGAUAGCAAAAUAAAGGAGAUUUACUUGAAUGAUCAGGCUAGUGUGGUAUGGCAAGCAUAUGUGAUGCUCAAGCAUUGGUGGACAUCUCGUCCUCCAGCCGCGCAGCCCUGGCGCGAGGAACUUGGCAAAGCUCUGUGUGAAAUCAAUAGAUUAGAUUUAGCUCGAGAUUUCACAGGUAAUGUUCUUCAAACAGAUACUUGACGUGUUGUGUAGAUGAUAGUAUUUUAUCUCUUGUGACGUAUGCAUGUUUUUCCAAAAUUCUGCCUUGAAGGUCCUUUUAAAAAAUCAGUUCAACAUUGUUUCCCAUGCAACAUUAUUCAAAAGUUUCUUCCAAUGUCAUUGGUUUGAACGGGCCAUGAAAAGUAAAACUUUGCGUCUAACAUAGGAAAAACGAUAUGUUGAAAAUGUAAAACCAGGAACGUAUUUGAAGAAUUUCAUUUUCGUUGGCAUUUUGAACUGAUACGCUUGAACUUUUGAAAAAGCGAAAAAUUGCGUUUCAUUGUCAAAUUCUAUGAUGUUUAUUACCGUUCAAUUCCAAAAUUGACACGACACCUCGCGCCCGAAGGAGCAAUAUUUUUAAGCACAUAUUUAUCCAAGAAAAAGUACAUGUUCGGUAUUGUUGAAAAAUUAAGUUCAGACUUCAGGUUCAAGAUUGUAUAUAUACACCCAAUAUAUAACAUUGAAAUGCAAUGACUGCAUAUGCUUAUUUUGAUAUUACAUAUUUCUUAAUCUACUUGUUAAGUAAUCGUAGUGUUUCACAAACAGAAACAAUUUUAUAUAUUGGUUCACAAUACAAACCAUAUACAGAGGUAACUGCAUGGUGAUCUCUAUUAGGCCAAUCCUGGCCUAAUAGAUCUCUAUUAGGCCAAUUAUCUCGUCGCGAGGUAAUGCAAUUAAAGGCAUUAUUAAAUUAAAGGCAUUAUUAAAGACAUUCAGGGCAAGUUAAGAGAAACUCGACCAAUUUUAGUUGCAAGUUAAAGCUAUUUAGUUCCAGAGCAGACCUUAUAUGAGUUUGAGACUGAAUUACUGUCAUAGUCAUAGAUAUAUUUUGUCUGAAUCAGACCAUUUUUAUGUAGUUCAGUAUCGAGACUAUAGUAACUUCUGCAACCAGCAUAACACUGUGUAUGUAUGCUAUUUCUCAAACACUCAUUAAUAAUUCAUG